CAACCAAUGGCCAAAGCUGUAAACUAAAGCUGCUAGGUGUCCGGGCAUUCAAAGGAGAGUUUGACCAGCCUGCGGCACCUCCUCAGAGGAACCACCAACCCACCCCACCUGACCCUGUCCCAUUGCUUUCUGAGCCACAGAACUGAGGGCCCAUGUGAGGACGUGCCAUGGAAGUACGUGGUGAGAGAGUGCUGGAGACAGCUUGACAUGCUCCCCGCAGCCGUGUGCACACAGAGGCUGGAUACCCCUGGGAGCCUGUGCCAGCAGGUCUCCAGUGACAGAAGACUUAGGGUGAAACUGAACACCACUCCCAUAAAGGCACACCCACCGCCUACUCAGAGACCACCAGGAUCCUCACAGACCCCUUCCUCAUUGGAGUGGAGACCAGGACCCCGUGCCACGGACCACCCCCCAGACAAUGAGCGGACUCUGCCACAUGGCUUCUCCCCGCCCCGCAUAUCAGAAGAGGGGGAAGAGGGGAGAUCCUAGAACUAGGCCACACCACCCCUCCCAGCCAGUGGGGAUGGGGUUGAAUCAUUAAAGAGGUUGGAGUUUUACAGAGAAGUGGACACAUUUCAAUACUGGAAAGUUGCAAACUCUGCCCAAGUUGGCAGUAAGGGACAGUAAAGGGAGAUUAUACAGAGGCCAGCUGAGAGCAGCGAUUUGGGGGCAACAAAGAAAUUUUGUGUUUACACUCUGUGGGUUGAGCCUUCUCAACUCCUUCUGGCUGCCCGCACGUCCGUUGUAAGAGCAGAGUAUCGUUUGUUUAAACCGUUCCCAGUCCAUUCAGUCUUUGGCGAGUUCAAACGAUGCUGCCAGGCCACAUGUCUGGUUUGAGUCCAUCUGUGGGUAAAUUCUUCAGAGCGCAUUUCCAGAACUUUCGUAGUCUGAACACAGCCUCUGCCUCUUGAAGACUGCUGUCCUGUCUUGGAACUCAACCUCUUUCGGCACCAGAAGCGGCGUGCCCCAAAGCCAGACUGCUCCCCCCGGCCGGUGAUCUGAACUCGGCUGUCUCAGUGGGGACGCAGGGGGACGUUCUCUUCACUCUGCCCAGGACACCUGGGGAAGCAGAGUCCUCCAGACAGGGCAUUUCUUCCAACUGCCUCGCUCUUGUCCGGUUAGGGACUUCCUCCUCCCUCUGCAUCUUGGGGGCAGAAAUCCUCCUGCUGGUUCCCAUUGAGUCAAGUGCUGGCUCCUCUGCCCCAUGUCCCUUAGCGGGUCUUACUGCAGAGGGUGAGGGCCAGCCGUGGCCCAGCCUUGGUUUGGGAAAUGGACCAGGGGAAG
rnacentral:lncRNA from 1 species